rnacentral:rRNA from 1 species
UACGUAGGGUGCAAGCGUUGUCCGGAAUUAUUGGGCGUAAAGAGCUCGUAGGCGGUUUGUCGCGUCUGCUGUGAAAAUCCGAGGCUCAACCUCGGACUUGCAGUGGGUACGGGCAGACUAGAGUGUGGUAGGGGAGACUGGAAUUCCUGGUGUAGCGGUGGAAUGCGCAGAUAUCAGGAGGAACACCGAUGGCGAAGGCAGGUCUCUGGGC